UACGUAGGGUGCGAGCGUUGUCCGGAAUUAUUGGGCGUAAAGCGCGUGUAGGCGGUCCGGUAAGUCCGCUGUGAAAGUCGAGGGCUCAACCUCGAAUGCCGGUGGAUACUGUCGGGCUAGAGUACGGAAGAGGCGAGUGGAAUUCCUGGUGUAGCGGUGAAAUGCGUAGAUAUCGUAAGGAAGACCAGUGGCGAAGGCGGGUCUCUGGGCCGAUACUGACGCUGAGGAGCGAAAGCGUGGGGGAGCGAACAGG
rnacentral:rRNA from 1 species